rnacentral:rRNA from 1 species
UAGGGAAUUUUGCGCAAUGGGGGAAACCCUGACGCAGCGACGCCGCGUGAGUGAAGAAGGCCUUCGGGUUGUAAAGCUCUGUCAGGAGGGAUGAAUAAGUUUAGACUAACAAGCUAAGCGAUGACAGUACCUUCAGAGGAAGCACCGGCUAACUCUGUGCCAGCAGCCGCGGUAAUACAGAGGGUGCAAGCGUUAUUCGGAAUCACUGGGCGUAAAGCGCGUGUAGGCGGAUUAUCAAGUCGUGUGUGAAAGCCCGGGGCUCAACCUCGGAAAUGCGCACGAAACUGGUAGUCUAGAGUCUAGGAGAGGGAGGUGGAAUUCCAGGUGUAGAGGUAAAAUUCGUAGAUAUCUGGAGGAACAUCGGAGGCGAAGGCGGCUUCCUGGCCUAGAACUGACGCUGAGUAUGCGAGAGCGUGGGUAGCAAACA